rnacentral:rRNA from 1 species
UGGGGAAUAUUGGACAAUGGGCGCAAGCCUGAUCCAGCCAUGCCGCGUGAGUGAUGAAGGCCCUAGGGUUGUAAAGCUCUUUCACCGGUGAAGAUAAUGACUGUAACCGGAGAAUAAGCUCCGGCUAACUUCGUGCCAGCAGCCGCGGUAAUACGAAGGGGGCUAGCGUUGUUCGGAUUUACUGGGCGUAAAGCGCACGUAGGCGGACUAUUAAGUCAGGGGUGAAAUCCCGGGGCUCAACCCGGGAACUGCCUUUGAAACUGGUAGUCUUGAGUUCGAGAGAGGUGAGUGGAACUCCGGGUGUAGAGGUGAAAUUCGUAGAUAUUAGGAAGAACACCAGUGGCGAAGGCGGCUCACUGGCUCGUUACUGACGCUGAGGUGCGAAAGCGUGGGGAGCAAACAGG